rnacentral:rRNA from 1 species
GACGGAGGAUGCAAGCGUUAUCCGGAAUGAUUGGGCGUAAAGCGUCCGCAGGUGGCAGUUCAAGUCUGCUGUCAAAGACCGGGGCUUAACUUCGGAAAGGCAGUGGAAACUGAACAGCUAGAGUAUGGUAGGGGCAGAGGGAAUUCCUGGUGUAGCGGUGAAAUGCGUAGAUAUCUGGAGGAAUACCGGUGGCGAAGGCGGCAUCCUGGACCAUUACUGACGCUGAGGCGCGAAAGCUAGGGGAGCAAACGGG